UCUAAUGAACUCAAAGGGUAUUGGCAUUUUCUACGGAGAAAUUUUUUAAAUGAUUCAUUUCUGUCGCCACAAUUUUAAUCUUGUCUGUAAGUGCACUUGAUGUGCUACAGAAGGCCGAUAGCUGACUGCUUCUACUUAAGCCCUUCUCUUUGCAAUUAUCCUCUAAUGAGGGAGGCACUUCAUCCAAGGUCAUUUUCUCUUGCCUGGGACAGCUCACAGCCAAUGACACUAGUCACCACUCCCAACUUUGGGAAAAUUCUUUAGAUUCAUCCAGAGGCUUCAAAAAACAACAGCUGCAAGUGCUUAUUGUAGGGGUAGCACAGUCAAGCAGCUCUGUGCUCAGUCCUGCUGCUUCACUCUGCAGAGUUUACUUCCCAGGAAACCUAGAUGGCAGGAAUGAUGAAAGAAAGCACUCCCUAAAGGACGGAAAACAGCAAGAUAGAGUAACUAAAGAAAGCCUCAGGAUUUAUAAGGUAUCUGACUGCCAGCAUUCAUAAUAUCCAGUUAUAGACCUGUCUUUGGAGUGACACCUAGAAGUCUUUAGCCACUGUCAUCUGGGCUCCAGGAAAAGCAGAGAGUCAUAUGACUGAAUCUGACAGAAAGACAAUCAUUUCAUAGGACCCAGAUCACCCCUCAAACCAUAAAGAUUCCUCUAGAGCUGCAAAACCAGGACUGAGAUAAUGAUGGACUGGAUCUCAGCCCUCCACACUCCAUAAAAUGCAGUAUUUUAGCAAUGAACAAUAAAUUACAGAGGUGAUCGGAAAGGAAAGAAAAGCACUAGGCUUCAGAGAUGGGAAAACCGUGGGAAGAUGAACAAACUGAUGUUCAAAGAAAUGAAUAACCAAGCCUGUAGAAUGAAAUGAAUAAACUAGCAUCUAGAAGUUCAAAGAAAUGAAUAACCUAGAUCAUAGCUCUGGAAAACAAUAGAAUCUGGUUUGCAUGCAGGACCUGUUGGCUUCCACUUUCAGACACCAGCUUCCCGGCUCCACACACGGGGAAGUUCAAUGCUUUUCAUCCAAAUACCAGUGGGAGGACACUGAGGCCUAGAAUGUGUGGGGUACAGUAAGACAAUGCCGGCUUUGAAGGCGCUUGUGUCUCCAAGCUUGGACAAAAUCCGACUGGGGUCUCAAUAGAAGCUAUACAUGAGAAGACUGCUGGCAGUUGUUCAGGGGCUGUGGAGCCAGGGAGCAAUGCCAGGACGCUGUAGAUGGGUACACGCUGUUCCAUUUUAUGAAAAGAAAGUUGAUUCUGCACCGAAGAUGUGAGUCCUGGGUAAAGAUCGUCAAGGGCAAUCUAUAAACGUAAAAGGAGAAUUAAGUGCUGUACCAGCAACUUUUCUCUGAGAAGAAAUCAUCCUAGUCAAAGCUAACUGCCCUUUAUGAUAAGGUACUCUUUCCUGGGUCAGCCAUCUAGAAUGCUGGCCCCACCCUAGCUCUGCUACACGUCUUCUAUAGAACUUUUGGAGACAAGAUCUUACCACGUAGUCCAGGUUGGCCUCAAGCCUGAGACCCACCUGCUUCAGACUCCUGAGCGUUAGGAUUAUGCAGGUAUGUGUGCCACUAUACCCACCAUAACUUAUUUUUUAAAAGUCAUAUGUAUAUAUUUAUCUGUUUAUUUCUCCCCCACACACACUAGCAUAUAAAUUUCUCAAGAAAGUGAGUCUUGACUAUUUUGCUUACUGCCAUAACCUACUGCCUUGUAGAAUAUCAGUACACGUUAGGGACAUAAGAGUUGUGGAAGGAAUAAGCAGCCAACAGGCUAUCUGUAGAAGUUUGUGAUCUGUCUUGCUUUGGAGUUCCUUUAAUUUUUUUUUCUCUCCUUUUUUCCCUUCCCCUUUAUUUUCCCUGACUUUGUGGAUACAGAAUGAGCAAACAAACAUUAUGCUUAUGAAGGCUUCCCAAAUUUCACUUCUAACCCUACAAAUGAAUGCCUAUAAGACAGAGUGAAAGCAUAAGGGGUAUUACUUGUUAACAUGUGAUAUGACCAGGCUCCAGAAAGGGAUAGUCGUUGACUUACAGAUUUUGUGCCUGUGUAGAAUACUGGGCAGUAGCUGAGAUGUCCUGUACUCAUAGAGCAACUCCUCUCCUCUCUCUCUUCUCUCUUCCCUUUCC